CUAGGUGAAGUCAAUGAUCCCAUGCUGCCAAGAAAAGCCUCUAGCGGGCUUCGAGCGGCCCGUACCCCAAACCGACACAGGUGGUCAGGUAGAGAAUACCGAGGCGAUCGGGCGAACUGUGGUUAAGGAACUCGGCAAAUUACCCCCGUAACUUCGGGAGAAGGGGGGCCACAGACUGUCAUACCCCACGCGGGUGGCAGCAGUAGGUGGCCGCAGAGACCAGGGGGAAGCGACUGUUUACUAAAAACACAGGUCCGAGCGAAGUCGUAAGACGAUGUAUACGGACUGACGCCCCCCGGUGCUGGAACGUUAAGGGGACCGGUUAGUCCGCAAGGGCGAAGCUGAGAACUUAAGCGCCAGUAAACGGCGGUGCUAACUAUAACCAUCCUAAGGUAGCGAAAUUCCUUGUCGGGUAAGUUCCGACCUGCACGAAUGGCGUAACGACUUCCCUACUGUCUCAACCACAGGCCCGGCGAAAUUGCACUACGAGUAAAGAUGCUCGUUACGCGCGGAAGGACGGAAAGACCCCGGGACCUUCACUAUAGCUUGACAUUGGUAUCCGAAUUUAAUUGUGUAGGAUAGGUGGGAGGCUUUGAUCCGCGGACGCCAGUCCGUCGGGGAGCCAACGUUGAAAUACCACUCUGUUGAAUUUGGGUAUCUAACUUCGGACCGUGAUCCGGUUCAGGGACAGUGUCUGGUGGGUAGUUUAACUGGGGCGGUUGCCUCCUAAAAUGUAACGGAGGCGCCCAAAGGUUCCCUCAGCCUGGUUGGCAAUCAGGUGUUGAGUGCAAGUGCACAAGGGAGCUUGACUGUGAGACUGACAGGUCGAGCAGGGACGAAAGUCGGGACUAGUGAUCCGGCACCUGCGAGUGGAAGCGGUGUCGCUCAACGGAUAAAAGGUACCCCGGGGAUAACAGGCUGAUCUUCCCCAAGAGUCCAUAUCGACGGGAUGGUUUGGCACCUCGAUGUCGGCUCGUCGCAUCCUGGGGCUGGAGUAGGUCCCAAGGGUUGGGCUGUUCGCCCAUUAAAGCGGCACGCGAGCUGGGUUUAGAACGUCGUGAGACAGUUCGGUCCCUAUCCUCCGCGCGCGUAGGAGACUUGAGAAGAGCUGUCCCUAGUACGAGAGGACCGGGACGGACGAACCUCUGGUGUGCCAGUUGUCAUACCAAUGGCACGGCUGGUUAGCUACGUUCGGAAGGGAUAACCGCUGAAAGCAUCUAAGCGGGAAGCUCGCUUCAAGAUGAGGUCUCCCACCCCUUGAGGGUUAAGGCCCCCAGCUAGACCACUGGGUUGAUAGGCCAGAAGUGUAAGCCUGGUAACAGGUUCAGCCGACUGGUACUAAUAGGCCGAGGACUCCAA
rnacentral:rRNA from 1 species